rnacentral:rRNA from 1 species
AGUGAACGCUGGCGGUAGGCCUAACACAUGCAAGUCGAACGGCAGCACAGUAAGAGCUUGCUCUUACGGGUGGCGAGUGGCGGACGGGUGAGGAAUACAUCGGAAUCUACUUUUUCGUGGGGGAUAACGUAGGGAAACUUACGCUAAUACAGCAUACGACCUACGGGUGAAAGCAGGGGAUCUUCGGACCUUGCGCGAUUGAAUGAGCCGAUGUCGGAUUAGCUAGUUGGCGGGGUAAAGGCCCACCAAGGCGACGAUCCGUAGCUGGUCUGAGAGGAGGAUCAGCCACACUGGAACUGAGACACGGUCCAGACUCCUACGGGAGGCAGCAGUGGGGAAUAUGGGGCAGUGGGCGCAAGCCUGAUCCAGCCAUACCGCGUGGGUGAAGAAGGCCUUCGGUUUGUAAAGCCCUUUUGUUGGGAGAGAAAAGCAGCAGGUUAAUACCCCGCUGUUCUGACGGUACCCAAAAAAUAAGCACCGGCUAACUUCGUG